UCUGAUGCGCGUGAUGACUAUUUUUUUCCCCGUCAGAUCGAUAAUGUUGAUUUGCGAAGCUUUUAAGCCAGUUUUGUCUGAUGCAUCAGC